UACGUAGGGCGCAAGCGUUUAUCCGGAAUUAUUGGGCGUAAAGAGCUCGUAGGCGGUCUGUUGCGUCAGGAGUGAAAACUCGGGGCUUAACCCCGAGCCUGCUUCUGAUACGGGCAGACUAGAGGUAUGCAGGGGAGAACGGAAUUCCUGGUGUAGCGGUGAAAUGCGCAGAUAUCAGGAGGAACACCGGUGGCGAAGGCGGUUCUCUGGGCAUUACCUGACGCUGAGGAGCGAAAGUGUGGGGAGCGAACAGG
rnacentral:rRNA from 1 species